UUCUUACCCAGAAAACCGCUUCUGGGAAAUUGCCGUUCCCGAGGUUGGACACACGAGGGCAGUCAAGCUCCAUCCAGCGCAACACACAACGCCGCCUGAAACAGAAGGCCUGCUCAGACACCACAGCGUUUAAAAACCUCGAGAUUCCCGGCGUCAUAAAGAGAACAACCGUCAAACAUACCAUCAGUUCUGGAUCUUCUCGAGUGAAAUAGAUGAGGCCACCUACGGAACGCAUUAAUUUACAUACACAGCAAAAUCCACAGAAAGAAAUCAACUCUAUUGGAUUUAAUGUAAACACUUUUAAAGUGUCCGGAGGGGUCCACACUCCACAUUGGGAUUUUAACACUUUAAUAGAGUUCACAUCAACUCUUUGUAUAGUUGCAACUGAACACUACUCAAGUGUUAGUUUCUCAACACCAGUGGGUAGUGUUAGAAAUUAAUUCUCAUAGGAGUAAUUCAUUAAAUCUCAUAGUGGUAAUUGCAUACUAUUAAAUGAGUUGCCUCUAACACUAUAAAGUGUUAAUAUGCUACUGCACAAUUAAAAUUACAUUUAAAUGAUUACAAAUCUAAAAGGCAAAUAAAGGGAAAAAAAAAACAAGUUGAUUGCUUUAUAAUGGUUUUAUUUUUUCAAGGGCGUUAACAUUACUGACCCCUCAUGUCAAGUCUUUCUAAAUAUAACAAUUGGGCACUAUGUACUCUCUUUGAUUAAUCUCAUUAGAGCACUGCUGGUCAAAUGGCUGGUCAAAAAUGUGUCAGUUCGUUCACAGAGAUGACAGAAAACUCAUCCAUUUGGUUAUCUUCCAUAGAGUAUGCAUUGAAGUGGUCAUCAUAGAACAUAGUGCUUUCAUAAUUUCCUGUAAUGUAAAAACACUCUUCAUAUAUUAUUAUCUCACAGACCUUUUUGAACACAGGGAGAUCAUAGGUACAUCCAGUGCAUAUGAACAAACCAACCUGAUACUCAGUACCAUAAUGUCUGACCCACUUUGUACUUGUAACACUCAAACAGGCUUCUAAAUAUAAUGUCUGACUGAGUUCUUCCCCACCUUGCAAGUUACAGAUGGUUUUUGAUGUAGGGCCAAAUUAAAAACAAUUAAAACCUUCUAAAACAAUCAUUUUCACAGUUAAAUAUCAAUUGACGAUGUUGCUUUACUAAUGAUUUAAUGAGAUUCUUGAAAUUUUUGCCACAUCUUUUGAAAAUAUGGUGCUUAGCUUCAAAUCGCAUUCACCACAUAUGGAUAAGAGGGCCAAUUUUUUUAUGCAUCUCAGAUAGUGCAUCAUCAAGUGGUGCUUGGGAAUCGACCUCUUGUCAGGAAACAAUUCUUUGAAUAGAGUAUGGUGAUCACAGAUCAGAUGUUUUAAGUAACAUAUCAUCCCAUCAGUUAUGGUGUAGGAGAACACUAUAUUGACAAUCUGUAUCGAAAGCAGGAGAAAGUUCCAGUGAUUGUUAUUCCUUUCAAUGACCACCAAAUAUCAGUGGAGUGUUGUGCAGAAGACACCAUAACUGUAUGGCAUUCAAACCCAGGUGUUUGCCCUUAUCAUCCAUUUUUAACCCACUUGGUUUGUUUUUACAGUCUGUGUAACCAUAAUUAAAGCUCUGUAUCCUAUUUGACAAUGUGUUCAAAGAGACAUAGUCCUGUUUAACAAGGUACUC